UGGGGUGUCGACAAGUGGCAAGUCAGCAGGUUUUGGUCCUGUCAUUCGUAGGUUCGAAUCCUACCACCCCAGCCA
rnacentral:tRNA from 1 species